GAUGAAGAACGUAGCGAAAUGCGAUAAGUAAUGCGAAUUGCAGAAUUCAGUGAGUCAUCGAAUCUUUGAACGCACAUUGCGCCCUGUGGUAUUCCGCAGGGCAUGCCUGUUCGAGCGUCAUUUCAACCCUCAAGCUCUGCUUGGUGUUGGGCCCUGCCCGCUGCGGCCGGCCCUAAAAACAGUGGCGGUGCCGCCUGGCCCUGAGCGUAGUACAUCUCUCGCUCCAGUGCCCGGUGGUAGCCUGCCAGAACCCCAACUCUCGUGGUUGACCUCGGAUCAGGUAGGGAUACCCGCUGAACUUAAGCAUAUCAAUAAGCGGAGGA
rnacentral:misc_RNA from 1 species